rnacentral:rRNA from 1 species
UACGUAGGGUGCGAGCGUUGUCCGGAAUUAUUGGGCGUAAAGAGCUUGUAGGCGGUUUGUCGCGUCUGCUGUGAAAUCUCAAGGCUCAACCUUGAGCUUGCAGUGGGUACGGGCAGACUAGAGUGUGGUAGGGGAGACUGGAAUUCCUGGUGUAGCGGUGAAAUGCGCAGAUAUCAGGAGGAACACCGGUGGCGAAGGCGGGACUCUGGGCCGAUACUGACGCUGAGGAGCGAAAGCGUGGAGAGCAAACAGG